UUAAAAAGCUCGUAGUUGAAUUUCGGGAUCAGUACGUUGGUCGUGCCUUAGGUACGUACUGGUGUUACGGGUUCCUACCUUCUGACGAACCAUCAUGUCAUUAAUUUGGUGUGGCGGGGAAUCAGGACUGUUACUUUGAAAAAAUUAGAGUGUUUAAAGCAGGCUCGCGCUUGAAUACAUUAGCAUGGAAUAAUGAAAUAGGACGUUGAUCCUAUUUUGUUGGUUUCUAGGAUUGACGUAAUGAUUAAUAGGGAUAGUUGGGGG
rnacentral:rRNA from 1 species